UUGGUUUUUUUUUCGACUUUUCAGUUUUCCCGCGGUUUUUCUUAGGUUUUGGAUUUUUUUAAAUAUUUUGCGCGCAACAACACGUUUUUUCGUGAGAGGCACAUAUUUACUCUUAUGAAGGCAUGGAUUUGCUUCUACGAGAGGCACGGUCGUGUCUCUCGAAAAGAGAAAAAUGCAUUUUCAUUUUUUCCCUUCCGCGAGAGGCACAUUUUUACUUCUUGUGGAGGCAUGGAUUUACUUUCGUGAGAGGCACGGUCGUUCCUCUCGAAAAGGGGGAAAACAUAUUUUUCCUUCCGUGAGGGGCAAAGAUUUACUUCUCGUUGAGGCACGGAUUUACUUCCGCGAGAGGCACGAUCGUGCCUAUCGAAAAGGGGAAAAGCAUGUUUUUUUUUCUUCCGCGAGAGACGAAUACUUUUCAUGGAGGCACGGAUGUGUUUCCAUGAGAGGCACAGUCGUGCCUCUCGAAAAGGGGAAAAUAUGUUUCUUUCUUUUUUUCUUAUGCGAGAGCCACAGAUUUACUUCUCAUGAAGGUACGAAUUUGCUUCUGCGAGAGGCACGGUCAUGCCUCUCGGAAAGGGAAAAACGUUCUUUUUCUUUUGUGAGAGGCAAAGAUUUACUUCUCGUGGAUGCACAGAUUUGCUCAUACGAAAGGCACGGUCGUGCCUCUCGGAAAAGGAAAAACGUGUGCCUCUUUGAAAAGGGAAAAAACAGGCUCCCGGUUCGUUUUUUCCAUGAAUUUUUUUUUCAUUGAAACCUAUCAACAUGGUAUCUAGUUUUUAAGAUCUUAACAUGAAUCCAACGAUGAAAACGGUUUGAGAUUUGGAAGAACGGUUUAAGAGAUAAAAUAUUUUAAAUAAACGAAUAUGCGAAAAAAGAGAAACUUCCAGAUAGGGACAAGUGAUGCACAUGCAGCGCGUCACUUUUCACAAUCUAAUAAGAUGAGACUAAUCUUUGAGAGAAGUACUUCUUAAUUAGUGAUUUGCGAUGUUCGCAAAAAAAAUAGUGAUUUUGUAGGAUCUGCCUACAGACCAACCAUGUAGUUUGGCGUGGCUGAGUGGGCCGUGCCGUGCCUGGCCGUAUAGCCCACGCCGGACCAUUCCGGCCAAUCGCGGGCUAGGUUUUUGACUGCUUCUAACAGCUCGCUUGCCCAUGCUUAAGCGGUUAAGCCCAAGCCCAUGACCGGAAGUUGCAUUCUCUCUUUCCUCUGUUUCGUUAUGGCCUUAUGGGACAGGAGGCCUCACCGGAGAACUCGCCGGAGUUUGCUUUAGGGUUGGGAGUUGGGAGAUCUCUGAAGGGAGGGUCGUCAGCGGAGGAUGAGGCUGCGGCGAAGAUUGCGGCGGCCAUCUUCGACCCGCCGCGGCCAUCGUGGCAGGUGGUCGGGGCAACAGGCUACAUCGCGAAUCCGGGCACAUUUCCGAACGAUUUCUGAUGAGAAGAUCCAAAACCAAGUGAGCUGUGAGAUUGCAACAUACCGAGUUGUCCAAUUUUCUGUCCACAAUGCAGGCUUGCUAGGUGAGUUUGGUCCUACAAAUGUUUCUCCACAGAUGAGCCCGUUGCAGGUGAAACAAUGUAAUAAUGAACACUAACAAUUGGGUCUGGGGCAUCGUUUUGCUUGCACAUCAUCCAUGGAACACCUGUCUGGAGACCUACAGCCAUUUCAGCUGCCCAACGGACAUAACGCGGGCCACCUGAGCCAAAUGCAGGCUCAACCAUCUGGGUUCAUUGUCUGUUCGGAAGGUGAUGUUUGGAACAUCAUGUAGCCAAAAUGGAAACCCUCUGCAUGAACACAAGAUACCCAGCAUUUGUUCAGACAUAUUUAUGCAUGUUUUGAAUUGAAAAAGACACCUACCUGGCCCUGGACAGGCUCGUGAACAUUCCAAAAGACGUAUGUUUGUAUGACAUCGAGGCCACCCUUCCUGGCGUUCGCUAUGAGUUUUGGCCACAUCUGUCAAUUGAAAUACGCAAAAACUGAUUUGGUGAUGAAUCAGAAGAAGUAGCUCAUUAGAGAAUGCCAACAAGCUAGGAAGCAGUAUGGAAGUUCAGUUCAAACGUUGCCUAAUAUUUGACCUUUGUCUCAUCUCCGGAAGAGGAUCCACAUUUUUUCUACUCGAUAGAUACUUUGAAGAGUUGUCUCCCUCCCUCUACUUGUGCAAUUCUGCGGUCCAUUUAUUGCCUAGCACCCCUGAACUAUGAGGUAUGCCUCAAAAUUUUACCAGUGACUUUUUAGCCGUGCAAGUUUGAUAUUGGUUUACCAAGGGGAAUUAUUACAUGUAAAGCGAGUAAUGUUUUGCUGAGGAUGUCAGAGAUAGAUGAAAUGACAGCCGGAGGUAUUACUAA